UUCCCCCUGGAAGUCAGCUCGUGGGGUCCCUCUGAGUCUCCCAUCCUCAUCACUAUCUCCUUUCUCUGUUUCCCUAAGAGAUAGAUGAAGACCGGAUCCCCAAUCCCCUUCUCAAGUCCACUUUGUCCAUGUCUCCACGGCAACGGAAGAAGGUGACGAGGACCACACCUACAAUGAAAGAGCUUCAGAUGAUGGUUGAACAUCACCUGGGACAACAGCAACAGGGAGAGGAACCUGAGGGAGCCGCUGAGAGCACAGGGACCCAGGAGACCUGCCCACCUGAGACCGCAGACACACCAGCGGGGUCAAGGCUGGGGGCCUCUGGG